GUGUUUGCACUUUGCAGUGUGCAACAGCCAGCUGCCAGCAGCACAAAAUACAAUAGUUGAACUUUUCUGAAAUGUUUGAGCAUUGAGACAUAUUGGUACAGCGCCGCUACAGCCGUACAGCGCAGUCCGUAGAAUAGCUUUCUCAAUUUACCUUCAGCCAUCUGUACGAUUCCCACUCUCAUCUUUCCCUGUUGUCUGCUAGCUGAAAAUGCACCUUUAUCACGGACGUUAUUUUGGUUACAAUCCCGUGUUCCAGUGGAACUCGGUGGAUGUGUAAACAGAGAACGGUCUCCUGCAGCACGGCGAAGUGAUCGAUAUGACGGAGAACGGCCUGAUCGUGGAUUUCCAAUGCAGCGAACAGCGCUCGCUCUUCAUCAGCUACGACAAGCUUUUUCUCCCUUCCCUGGACCGUUAUGUCGUGAUGCAGAAACAUUAUCACGAACAACUCCAGAGGAUCCCCACGGCAGUACAAAAUGCCAGCGUGCAGGUAUUGUGUCGCCCGCACCCGGGUGCGGCAUGGUGCUGGUACCCGGGACGGUUGCUGCGGCGCCCGUUCUUCUUUCCCCACACAGGAAGCAGCUUGGUGUGGGCCGCCGUCGACGUGGAGGGUCGCCGCCUAACGGAACUGUUCUCCGCUGAUCAGGUGCGCUUCCCGCGUUCCAAGCUGUGGCUGGCCCAACGAGCACUGCCGCCGGACUGCUUUGCUGUGCGAGAAUGUCGCCUGCCCGAUGGUUUCUGCCCGAUGCCCGCCUCUAAGGCGUCUGAUGGUCUACGUCGCCAACUGGAGAGGAAGGAUGUUCGUGUUAUAAGCAUUCUGGGUGGUACCGUCAAGUACCUGCAGCGAAGGGACGCCGAAGCCUUCUCCGAAGAGGAUGUGCAACAAGUAUGCGAAUUAAAUCAAAAAGCCUCCCAGCGCUUGCUCCAUAACGAGCAGGAGAAUCUCGGGCUAGAUCAGGUGCAUAUUGGUACGGAAGCGACCAGAAAGCGCAAACACCCCGACGACGAUGCCCAACCGGAAGUGGAGCGGGUGCUCCAACGGCACCGCAUCUCUUGCUGGAGAUCUUCCACUCGCUGGACAGCGUCAUCCGCGAGAAGCUGCGUCGCGUGUGUCCGCUGUGGAAUACCGUGCUGACCGGCGCCGACAGCGCGAAAACGGACCGUUUUCGGACCGGACCGUGUUUCCUUCCGGAUGAACCCGUUCUUUCCACUGGAAGAGGAGGAUUUCACCGACGUCUACGGCGCCGUGGCGGGCCUGCUGAAAUGCACCACCGCCACCACGGAACGGGUUAUUUUGGAGGAUAUGUACGCGGAACAGCUCGAUAGUACAUUUCUGGUGGUUAAAUGGGUGCUGCGAAAUACCCGGCUGAAACAACUGAUAUUCCAUCAUGUGGAGAUGGACUGGGAGUUUAAUUUCGGAUAUAAAUACGGCGACAACGGUGUCGUUGCUGUGACGGAGGACGAGGUGGAAGAGGAAGGCAGGAUAGUGUUCCAGCGUCUAGCCAAGACGCUAAAAAGUUUAGCACCGUAUUGCUGUGAACUUCGUCUGCAACGGUGUGAAUUCACGUCUUUGGAGAAAAUGAGCGCCGUUAUUCCGCAGGCGACGGUAACACUCGAUGCCCCGGAUUUGGAGGCACAAUUCCGGGAUCUCUAUGAGGCACAUCUGUCUCGCGAUGGAGUGGAUUUGGAGGAAAUGGCGGAGUGGAUUCGCACCGGAUCGCAGGACGUUCGCGAAAUGGUCGUGAAGUGGCAUAUUAACGUUAGCGCGUACAUUUCCCCGGCCGUUCCUCACCACAAUGACCCCAAUUAAUAUUGCGUUGAACUGUACAGUAUCUUAAGGACUGGCAAAGUCACGAUCCCCGCUCCACGACGCCGUAUCGUGGUCACGAAUGGACACUGGACAACCUGAAGGAUGUGGAUGUGUCCAAGCUGACCACCCUCACGCUGCGGGCUUUGAAGGAACGCCUUCCCGUGGAAAUGGAACGGAGCGAAGAUGAAGAAGAUAGCGACGUGGAACACGUGCAGUGACCGGCUAUCUGUCGUCCUUGUGUCGAUGUCGGGAACGGUUGUGUGGGGCAGCUGCCAUAGUUAUUAACUUUACCGAUUUGUUCACUGCUUCAGAUUUCUCCUUCUGUUUUGGUGUCGGAAACGGGAGUGUUCGAUUCUGUUGUACAAGCAGUCAGAGGAAGCGGUUAGCAUUUAGCAGAUUGUGAUUUGUGAGAACUAAUGACUUUUGAAUGUGCUCAGAUCAGAGUCAGAUGCGAUGAAUAAUUCUGGCAUAAUUCAUGCCUAGCGCUGUAAAU